rnacentral:rRNA from 1 species
UACGUAGGUGGCGAGCGUUGUCCGGAAUUACUGGGUGUAAAGGGAGCGUAGGCGGGGGAUCAAGUUGAAUGUUUAAACUAUCGGCUCAACCGAUAAUCGCGUUCAAAACUGAUUUUCUUGAGUGAAGUAGAGGCAGGCGGAAUUCCUAGUGUAGCGGUGAAAUGCGUAGAUAUUAGGAGGAACACCAGUGGCGAAGGCGGCCUGCUGGGCUUUAACUGACGCUGAAGCUCGAAAGCGUGGGGAGCAAACA